GCAAACUUGGUCAUUUAGAGGAAGUAAAAGUCGUAACAAGGUUUCCGUAGGUGAACCUGCGGAAGGAUCAUUAUUGAAAUCCAAACCGGGGGUUGGGUUGUUGCUGGCUUCGGCAUGUGCACGCCCUCCUCCAAAACUCACACCUGUGCACCUUGGGAUGGAGCACCGUCUGCUCUUGGCAGUCGGUGCGAAGUCCACAUUUAACACACGCUUUUUGACAUUGAAUGUAUAAACUCGUUAACUAACGAAAUAACAACUUUCAACAACGGAUCUCUUGGCUCUCGCAUCGAUGAAGAACGCAGC
rnacentral:misc_RNA from 1 species